GUGGUGCGUAUCUUGAAUGUCAAAACGACUCUCGGCAACGGAUAUCUCGGCUCUCGCAUCGAUGAAGAACGUAGCGAAAUGCGAUACUUGGUGUGAAUUGCAGAAUCCCGUGAACCAUCGAGUCUUUGAACGCAAGUUGCGCCCGAAGCCUUUCGGCCGAGGGCACGCCUGCCUGGGCG
rnacentral:rRNA from 1 species